rnacentral:rRNA from 1 species
GAUGAACGCUGGCGGCGUGCCUAAUACAUGCAAGUCGAGCGAACGGACGAGAAGCUUGCUUCUCUGAUGUUAGCGGCGGACGGGUGAGUAACACGUGGAUAACCUACCUAUAAGACUGGGAUAACUUCGGGAAACCGGAGCUAAUACCGGAUAAUAUUUUGAACCGCAUGGUUCAAAAGUGAAAGACGGUCUUGCUGUCACUUAUAGAUGGAUCCGCGCUGCAUUAGCUAGUUGGUACGGUAACGGCUUACCAAGGCAACGAUGCGUAGCCGACCUGAGAGGGUGAUCAGCCACACUGGAACUGAGACACGGUCCAGACUCCUACGGGAGGCAGCAGUAGGGAAUCUUCCGCAAUGGGCGAAAGCCUGACGGAGCAACGCCGCGUGAGUGAUGAAGGUCUUCGGAUCGUAAAACUCUGUUAUUAGGGAAGAACAUAUGUGUAAGUAACUGUGCACAUCUUGACGUUACCUAAUCAGAAAGCCACGGCUAACUACGUG